AUACGUAGGGGACAAGCGUUGUCCGGAAUGACUGGGCGUAAAGGGCGCGUAGGCGGUCUAUUAAGUCUGAUGUGAAAGGUACCGGCUCAACCGGUGAAGUGCAUUGGAAACUGGUAGACUUGAGUAUUGGAGAGGCAAGUGGAAUUCCUAGUGUAGCGGUGAAAUGCGUAGAUAUUAGGAGGAACACCAGUGGCGAAGGCGGCUUGCGGGAAAAAUACUGACGCUGAGGUGCGAAAGCGUGGGGAGCGAACAGGAUUAGAUACCCUGGUAGUCCACGCCGUAAACGAUGAAUGCUAGGUGUUGGGGAAACUCAGUGCCGCAGUUAACACAAUAAGCAUUCCGCCUGGGGAGUACGGCCGCAAGGUUGAAACUCAAAUGAAUUGGCGGGG
rnacentral:rRNA from 1 species